rnacentral:lncRNA from 1 species
UGGACCCCACCCAGGUCCACAAGAGCCUGCCCUCAGCCCACCGGGUCAGCGGGCUCAUGAUGGCCAACCACACCAGUAUCUCCUCGCUUUUUGAAAGGACCUGUCGCCAGUUUGACAAGCUGAGGAAACGGGAGGCCUUCAUGGAGCAGUUCCGCAAGGAGGACAUCUUCAAGGACAAUUUUGACGAGAUGGACACCUCCAGGGAGAUUGUGCAGCAGCUGAUUGACGAGUACCAUGCGGCCACACGGCCAGACUACAUCUCCUGGGGCACCCAGGAGCAAUGAGUCGCCCGAGACAGGGACCCUCAUCUGCCUUACCGGUUAGCCCAGGCCCUGCCUGGCUGACUACCCCUCAGAGCACAGAUCAGGGACCUCAUCAAUCACUCGCAUACACAUGCACUGUCUGUUGGCUUAGGGGCGGGUUUACUUCUUUGAGAGUAUUUAUCUUUAAUAAAGCACUGGAUGUAAACCG